rnacentral:rRNA from 1 species
AUUGAACGCUGGCGGCAUGCCUUACACAUGCAAGUCGAACGGUAACGGGCCUUCGGGUGCCGCCGAGUGGCGAACGGGUGAGUAAUACAUCGGAACGUGCCCGAUCGUGGGGGAUAACGAGGCGAAAGCUUUGCUAAUACCGCAUACGAUCUACGGAUGAAAGCAGGGGACCGCAAGGCCUUGCGCGGACGGAGCGGCCGAUGGCAGAUUAGGUAGUUGGUGGGAUAAAAGCUUACCAAGCCGACGAUCUGUAGCUGGUCUGAGAGGAUGAUCAGCAACCCUGGACCUGAGAAACGGCCAGACUCCUACGGGAGGCAGCAGUGGGGAAUUUUGGACAAUGGGCGCAAGCCUGAUCCAGCCAUGCCGCGUGCAGGAUGAAGGCCUUCGGGUUGUAAACUGCUUUUGUACGGAACGAAAAGCCUUCUUUUAAUACAGGAGGGUCAUGACGGUACCGUAAGAAUAAGCACCGGCUAACUACGUG